ACAUAAUAAACCAUAAAACUAAACUGAGUGGUUUAAAUAUAGCGGCAGAAUCUCACAAUGGCAUUAGUUUUCUUUCCCAUUAAUACAUGCUUUGGAGUUAUGUAUACUUUACAUUAUAUUUUUAGGUUAGGGCAAGUGAGUCACCGUCUCAUCUAUACUGGCUGAAAAGCACCCAGGUGUGAGGACAAAAUUCCUAGUCACCAUGGCGCACUGGUGCGUGGAGC